AAUAAAUGAGCCCAAUCUACCCGGCCCAAAUAGGAGAAAUAUCAUGACCCAACAUUACCCCCUAGUUUUUUGUUAAACAGGAUGUUUAAUGGAAAACUAUAAACGAUUCAUGAUAUUAGAAUUUAAUAGAGGCCUAAAAUAGGAAAUAAUUGAGGCAUACCCACUUUAAUGCAUGAAAUGGGACGAGGGAUGGCUGGAUGCCUAGAGCAACAAGCCCAAUCGGAUAAAGGAUUUGAAUUUGAACAAGAUGGACCAAUAAUUAGAAACUCAACAGUUAGGCCCAAUCUGAUAAGAUAUCCAAAGGUCGUCCCAAACACGUCCCAUUCGAAUUCUCAUCAUCACUGACAUUUAAUGCGCCGGCCUCGUUCCCUGUGUAACCGUCAGUAUAAAAGGUAAACUUUACCAAUUUUGACGGUUUUACCUGCU
rnacentral:lncRNA from 1 species